rnacentral:misc_RNA from 1 species
GAACCACAAUCUUACCAUCAAGCUGGAGAGGAAUAAACUGGAUUAUUACUAUGAAAAAUGAAUUGGAAGCUUUAGAGAAGAAAACACUUGGGUCCUUACCACUCUACCACAAGGCAAGAAAGCCAUAGCUUCUAAGUGGAUUUACAAAGUAAAGUAUAACCUAGAUGGUACUGCUGAUAAGUACAGGGCUAGGUUAGCUGCAAAGGCUGUAGUUAAUUAGCAAGAAUUGACUAAC